rnacentral:rRNA from 1 species
AACCGGAUUAGAUACCCUGGUAGUCCAUGCCGUAAACGUUGGGAACUAGAUGUAGGGGCCAUUCCACGGUUUCUGUGUCGCAGCUAACGCAUUAAGUUCCCCGCCUGGGGAGUACGGCCGCAAGGCUAAAACUCAAAGGAAUUGACGGGGGCCCGCACAAGCGGCGGAGCAUGCGGAUUAAUUCGAUGCAACGCGAAGAACCUUACCAAGGCUUGACAUACACCAGUAACGGCUAGAGAUAGUCGCCCCGCAAGGUUGGUGUACAGGUGGUGCAUGGUUGUCGUCAGCUCGUGUCGUGAGAUGUUGGGUUAAGUCCCGCAACGAGCGCAACCCUCGUUCUAUGUUGCCAGCACGUGAUGGUGGGAACUCAUAGGAGACUGCCGGGGUCAACUCGGAGGAAGGUGGGGAUGACGUCAAAUCAUCAUGCCCCUUAUGUCUUGGGCUUCACGCAUGCUACAAUGGCCGGUACAAAGGGCUGCAAUACCGUGAGGUGGAGCGAAUCCCAAAAAGCCGGUCUCAGUUCGGAUUGGGGUCUGCAACUCGACCCCAUGAAGUCGGAGUCGCUAGUAAUCGCAGAUCAGCAACGCUGCGGUGAAUACGUUCCCGGGCCUUGUACACACCGCCCGUCAAGUCAUGAAAGUCGGUAACACCCGAAGCCAGUGGCCCAACCCUUGUGGGGGGAGCUGUCGAAGGUGGGAUCGGUGAUUAGGACUAAGUCGUAACAAGGUAGCCGUA